GUAAGGAAUAUUGGUCAAUGGGCGGAAGCCUGAACCAGCCAUGCCGCGUGCAGGACGACGGCCCUACGGGUUGUAAACUGCUUUUGCCCGGGAAUAACCCCCCGCUCUUGAGCGGGGCUGAACGUACCGGGAGAAUAAGGAUCGGCUAACUCCGUGCCAGCAGCCGCGGUAAUACGGAGGAUCCGAGCGUUAUCCGGAUUUAUUGGGUUUAAAGGGUGCGUAGGCGGCCCGUUAAGUCAGGGGUGAAAUACGGCAGCUCAACUGUCGCAGUGCCCUUGAGACUGACGGGCUUGAAUACCGGUGAAGGCGGCGGAAUGAGACAAGUAGCGGUGAAAUGCAUAGAUAUGUCUCAGAACCCCGAUUGCGAAGGCAGCUGCCUAACCGGCGAUUGACGCUGAUGCACGAAAGCGUGGGGAUCGAACAGGAUUAGAAACCCGAGUAGUCC
rnacentral:rRNA from 1 species